UACGAAGGGGGCUAGCGUUGCUCGGAAUUACUGGGCGUAAAGGGCGCGUAGGCGGCUGUUUAAGUCGGGGGUGAAAGCCCAGGGCUCAACCCUGGAAUUGCCUUCGAUACUGGACAUCUUGAGUGCGGGAGAGGUGAGUGGAACUCCGAGUGUAGAGGUGAAAUUCGUAGAUAUUCGGAAGAACACCAGUGGCGAAGGCGACUCACUGGCCCGUUACUGACGCUGAUGCGCGAAAGCGUGGGGAGCAAACAGG
rnacentral:rRNA from 1 species